GGGGCUGCACCGGUUUCGACGUGGGUUCGGACACGCAGCAGGGCAUGUCGAGGUUCAGUCACCUCGUUAAUCCGCUGAAACAAACUAACUGCGAACGACGAACGUUACGCACUCGCCGCUUAAACACCGGUGAGCCUCACAACAGCUGGUCCAUGGGCUGGGCCGGGGUCGCAAGGUCCCGGUUGUGAGGGAAUCCACAUGGGCUGGUUUCCACCCGGGUGCCUUGGGCGGGAACGAGAAAAUAGGGCACUGGCGGCUGGCAUAGCGUGCGUCUGCGCGAUGCCGGCGGCGAGAACCAAAUCAGAGCGCUAAACAUGUAGAACUGCUCGGAGAAGGCUUGCGGACGCGGGUUCAAUUCCCGCCAGCUCCACCA
rnacentral:tmRNA from 1 species